GAUGAACGCUGGCGGCGUGCCUAAUACAUGCAAGUCGAGCGAACAGACGAGGAGCUUGCUCCUCUGACGUUAGCGGCGGACGGGUGAGUAACACGUGGAUAACCUACCUAUAAGACUGGGAUAACUUCGGGAAACCGGAGCUAAUACCGGAUAAUAUAUUGAACCGCAUGGUUCAAUAGUGAAAGACGGUUUUGCUGUCACUUAUAGAUGGAUCCGCGCCGCAUUAGCUAGUUGGUAAGGUAACGGCUUACCAAGGCAACGAUGCGUAGCCGACCUGAGAGGGUGAUCGGCCACACUGGAACUGAAACACGGUCCGGACUCCUACGGGAGGCAGCAGUAGGGAAUCUUCCGCAAUGGGCGAAGGCCUGCCGGAGCAACGCCGCGUGGGUGAUGAAGGUCUUCGGAUCGUAAAACUCUGUUAUUAGGGAAGAACAAAUGUGUAAGUAACUAUGCACGUCUUGACGGUACCUAAUCAGAAAGCCACGGCUAACUACGUG
rnacentral:rRNA from 1 species